ACUGCGCAUAGCUCACUUUCUUGAGCAACCCUGUGUCCCCGCACCCCGCUCCUCUUCUUUCGGGUUCUAGGCAGCCGUGGGCGCUGCGACCCUUCUCUCACUGUCAGAGGGGCGGGAGCUCUCGGCCUGCGCCGCCUCCGCUGCCUGCUUGGUCGCGGGCUUGCCGGGAAUGGUGACAGCCCGGGCCCCCUCUUGGCCAAAGAAGUCCUCGAAAGCGUUCGGCGCACGGGCUUUGUCCAGCUUUUUAAACCGUAACAAGGACCGGGGCCGGGCGCGGUGGCUCACGCCUGUAAUCCCAGCAUUUUGGGAAGUCGAGGCGGACGGAUUACUUGAGGUCAUGAGUUCGAGACCAGCCUGGCCAACACGCAAAGAUAUCCAGACGCUGUAUGCAGGAAGAACUGAAUUUCAGAGGACACCGUUUGAUCUUCAACACCUGGCAGUUUACAAAACAGCCUGAAGAGGAGAGGGGGAAUCCUGGUGAGAAGCAUUUGGAAUUCAAGCUCAGAGAAGAAGACACGGAGUCCCAGCUGAGAACUCAAACUGGUAGAAGGAAGAUUAUUUUUCCUUCUCUAUAGGUGCUUGGAGGUAACGAGGGGAAAGGAGUUGAAAGGAAGGUGACAUUUCAGCUAAUCUGCUUCGCGCUACUUUUUUGAGGUGGGCACCUGGGAUGGAGGCAAGGAAUCACGAAGUGGCGUCUCCUCGGAAGGGGCAGCCUGAUGUCUUUAACCACUGAACUGUGGUUUCCAACUGGAUGCGCUUUGGGUUCAGGGCUAAGACACGCGUAGGCGGUGCAGACAGUUCAAUUCGUGGGCGGCUUUUUCUCUCCCCUGCGCGGUUUUGCAGAACUGAGGAUUCACGUUUGCCACGCAGUCUCUAAAUCCUCCUCCCAGCCCUCGCCGGAUUUCUGCAUCGGAAUUGGAUUGGAUCACACACAAAAGAAGAGCCCAGGAACUCGUUCACCACCUUGCACCUUGCCUGUUAGUUCACGGCAUAAUGGUAACAGAGUCUUCAUUAAUGGAAGCAACGUUACUACCGUGAGCCCGGAUAGCUCAGUCGGUAGAGCAUCAGACUUUUAAUCUGAGGGUCCAGGGUUCAAGUCCCUGUUCGGGCGGUAUCUUUUUUUUCCUCAUUAAAAGAGUAAGAACCAA
rnacentral:tRNA from 1 species